rnacentral:rRNA from 1 species
UACGGAGGGUGCAAGCGUUAUCCGGAUUCACUGGGCUUAAAGGGUGCGUAGGUGGGUUGGUAAGUCAGUGGUGAAAUCUCCAGGCUUAACUUGGAAACUGCCAUUGAUACUAUCAAUCUUGAAUACCGUGGAGGUCAGCGGAAUAUGUCAUGUAGCGGUGAAAUGCUUAGAUAUGACAUAGAACACCAAUUGCGAAGGCAGCUGGCUACUCGGAUAUUGACACUGAGGCACGAAAGCGUGGGGAUCAAACAGG